UCAAGCUACAAAGAGCACAAGGGGAAUGCCUUGGCACCGAGAGCCGAAGAAGGACGUGACUAACUGCGAUAAGCUACGGGGAGCUGUAAGUGAGCGUUAUAUCCGUAGAUUUCCGAAUGGAGCAAUCCGAUUAGAGGAAAGUCUAAUCAUCAUAUACUGAAUACAUAGGUAUAUGAGGGGAACCGCCUGAACUGAAACAUCUAAGUAGGGCGAGGAAGAGAAAUCAACUGAGAUUCCGUAAGUAGUGGCGAGCGAACGCGGAAGAGGCCAAACCUAAUGUAGUAAUAUGUUAGGGGUUCGGACAGUAGAAUGAAUUGUCGAGAUUUAGCCGAAUGUCAUGGGAAGGGCAAUCAAAGAAGGUGAAAAUCCUGUAGGCGAAAAGUUAAGACAUCAGACUGUAUCCAGAGUACCGCCGGACACGUGAAACCCGGUGGGAAUAUGGGGGGACCAUCCUCCAAGCCUAAAUACUACUCGGUGACCGAUAGAGAAGAAGUACUGUGAAGGAAAGGUGAAAAGCACCCCGGAAGGGGAGUGAAAGAGAACCUGAAACCUUGUGUUUACAAGCACCGAAAGUUCAUCAACGAACGAUCGGGUACCUUUUGUAGAAUGGUCCGGCGAGUGAAUGUAACUGGCAAGGUUAAGCACUUAAGGUGUGAAGCCGUAGCGAGAGCGAGUCUGAAAAGGGCGCAUGAAGUCAGUUGUAUUCGACCCGAAACCGGGUGACCUACCCAUGUCCAGGCUGAAGUGCAGGUAAAACUUCAUGGAGGGCCGAACCGACUCCCGUUGAAAUGGUAGCGGAUGAGGUGUGGGUAGCGGAGAAAUUCCAAUCGAACCCGGAGAUAGCUGGUUCUCUCCGAAAUAGCUUUAGGGCUAGCCUUGGAAUAGAUUACUGGAGGUAAAGCACUGAAUUGGCUAGGGGCCGAGAGGUUACUGAACCUUAUCAAACUAAGAAUGCCAGAUAAUCGUUUUCCAGGAGUCAGACAGUGGGAGAUAAGUUUCAUUGUCAAAAGGGAAACAGCCCAGACCUACAGCUAAGGUCCCAAAGUAUAGUUAAGUGGAAAAGGAUGUGGAAUUGCAUAGACAACCAGGAUGUUGGCUUAGAAGCAGCCACUCAUUAAAAGAGUGCGUAAUAGCUCACUGGUCGAGUGACCCUGCGCCGAAAAUUUAACGGGGCUAAACUGUACACCGAAGCUUGGGGUUUUAGAUGUUAGACGGUAGACAUUAGACAGAAGAUGAGUAAGAGGUAAGAAAUGAGCGGAUAUGAAAGUUUGACAGUAUAUCAGAGAAGCUACAAAGCGGCGAAGGCAAUGAGGAAGAUAACGAGAGAAAUGCCUGAGACAGAAAGAUAUGCGUUAAUAGAUCAAAUGAACAGAGCGUCAUUAUCAAUACCCUUAAACAUCGCAGAAGGAUAUGCAAAGAAAGAAAGUCAGGCAGAAUUCAGAAGAUAUUUACUUAUGGCAAUAGGCUCGGCAAAUGAAAUGAGCGUAUUGAUUGAUUUUGCAAAAGACUUAGAGUAUAUCGGAAAAGACAGACACGAAAAAGCGAAGAAAGAAUAUGAGGAAAUCAGCAAGAUGCUGAGAGUACUGAUAGAAAAGACGAAGCAAAAGUGAAGGAAGUCAAAAGUCUAAUAUCCAGCGUCUAACAUCUAAAACGGUAGGAGAGCGUUGUAUGCGGGGUGAAGUCGCAGCGGAAGCGGCGGUGGACUGCAUAGAAGUGAGAAUGCCGGAAUGAGUAGCGAGAUUUAUGUGAGAAUCAUAAAGGCCGAAAGACUAAGGAUUCAGAAGGAAGGUUCGUCCGCUUCUGGUUAGCCGGGGGCUAAGGUGAGGCCGAAAGGCGUAGCCGAUGCACAUACGGUGGAGAUUCCGUAGCCGCCGAAACAUUUAAGUAAAGGGACACUUGAGAAGUUCAUAAGCCGGGCGUUGGUAGACCCGGUCGUAAGGGUGCGAAAUUAAGUAGCUGAAGUAUGAAUGGAACAAGGCGAGAAAAGCUUUACGGUAUAUGUUAGGUGCCCGUACCGCAAACCGACACAGGUAGUCAGGAAGAGAAUUCUAAGGCCAACGGGAGAAGGGUAGUUAAGGAACUCGGCAAAUUGACCCCGUAACUUCGGAAUAAGGGGUGCUCUCUACGGAGAGCCGCAGUGAAUAGGUCCAGGCGACUGUUUAUCAAAAACACAGGUCUCUGCUAAAUCGAAAGAUGACGUAUAGGGGCUGACACCUGCCCGGUGCUGGAAGGUUAAGAGGAGGAGUGAGAGCUCCGAAUUGAAGCCCCAGUAAACGGCGGCCGUAACUAUAACGGUCCUAAGGUAGCGAAAUUCCUUGUCGGGUAA
rnacentral:rRNA from 1 species